rnacentral:rRNA from 1 species
AGUUUGAUCAGUGGCUCGAGGACGAACGCUGGCGGCGUGCUUAACACAUGCAAGUCGAACGGUAAGGCCCUUCGGGGUACACGAGUGGCGAACGGGUGAGUAACACGUGGGUGAUCUGCCCUGCACUUCGGGAUAAGCCUGGGAAACUGGGUCUAAUACCGGAUAGGACCAUGGACUUCACGGUUUGUGGUGGAAAGCUUUUGCGGUGUGGGAUGGGCCCGCGGCCUAUCAGCUUGUUGGUGGGGUAAUGGCCUACCAAGGCGACGACGGGUAGCCGGCCUGAGAGGGUGUCCGGCCACACUGGGACUGAGAUACGGCCCAGACUCCUACGGGAGGCAGCAGUGGGGAAUAUUGCACAAUGGGCGCAAGCCUGAUGCAGCGACGCCGCGUGAGGGAUGACGGCCUUCGGGUUGUAAACCUCUUUCAAUAGGGACGAAGCGCAAGUGACGGUACCUAUAGAAGAAGCACCGGCCAACUACGUG